UUGAAAGGGAAACGAUUGAAGUCAGUCGUGCUGGCGCGAAAUCAACCCUCUCGUCGAGAGGUCACAUGGCGUGGCGAGCCUCAAAACCGUCACGAAGCGUGAACUCUUGGCGAAAAGGAGCACUUUCGUGUCCGCUGGUUAACAUCAAUUUCGAACGUCAUAAAAAGGCUGGAGGGAUGUGGCUCCUUCGGGAGUGUUAUAACCUUUAGCGGAAUGUGGUGGUCGGGAUUGAGGAUUGCAACGAAUACCUUUAGGGCUGUUCCUUCUGGUCUCUUGUUGACGUUCAGAUGACAACAGCUUGCUUUUGUUGUUUGAAUAGUUGGCGAAUAGAUUGGAAAGUGAAUUAAUUCGUUAAGGAUGUUGACGUA
rnacentral:rRNA from 1 species